rnacentral:lncRNA from 1 species
GCAGGCCCGUGGUGCCCUUCCCCAUGUCUUUCCGGUGGGCUCGGGUGUCCGUACGAACAGUUCUCCUGCUGGUGCCAACCCAGUAUUCCCGAGAUCGCCUGUGUGCGGACCACACAGCACGGCUGCUGCGAGGCCCGGGGACCGAUGGAGGCGUUGGAGGAAACUCCCUGGGGAGCACUGGCCGGAAGGAAGUGCAGCACCAUUCACAACAGCCAAGAUGUGGAAGCCACCCAAGUGCCUAUCAACUGAUGAACAGAUGAAGAAGAUGUGGUAUAUUUAUACAGUGGAAUACUACUCAGCCAUGAACAAACAAAAUUGUGCCAUUUGCACCAUGGAUGGACUUUGAGGGUAUUAAACAAACACUCUACGAUUUCACUCAUAUGCAGAAGAGAAACUAACACAGGGAUAAGAGAACAGAUCAGUGGUUACCAGAGGGGAAGGGGGUGGGGGAAGGGCAAAAGGGGUAAAGGGACACAUAUGUACGGUAACAGAUAAAAACUAGAUUAUUGAUGGUGAACACGAUGCAGUCUAUACAGAAACUGAGUUAUAAUAAUGUACACCUGAGAUUUACACGAGUAGAUAUGACUUCAAUAAAAUAAUUAAAAAAAAACAAAUUGAAAUCAAUCUAUUCAUACCAUACCUUCAUUUUUAAAUUGCCAAAAGAUAACAAUAGGAUAGUCAUUUAAAAAGAAUAACAAGGAGCCGGCCCUGUGGCCGAAUGGUUAAGUUUGCAUGCUCUGCUUUGGCAGCCCAAGGUUUUGCUGGUUCAGAUCCUGGAUGCAGACAUGGCACCACUCAUCAGGCCAUGCUGAGGCGGUGUCCCACGUGCCACAACCAGAAGGACCCACAACUAAAAAUAUACAACUAUCUACUGGGGGAAUUUGGAGAGAAAAAGCCAAAAAAAAAAAUGAUUGGCAAGUUGUUAGCUCAGGUGCCAAUCUUAAAAACAACAAGUAAUCCAUAGGUAUAUUAGGAGUAAUCGGUAUGCCUAAUCAUUAAAGAAAUAUUUCUCCUAAGAGCAAGGAUGUUUCCUUCAUAAUCAUAAUGACUGUGAUUAAAUUCAGGAAAUUUAAUGUUGAUUUAAUACUAUUAGCUAAAAUACAUUCUGUGCUCAAUUUUGCCCAUUGUCCCUGUAACCUUUUUACAGCAUCUUCCCCCAAUCCAGUAUGACAUGUGACCUUUAGCUGUCAAAUCUCCUCAGCGUCCUUCUAUCAGGAGCACUUCCUCAGCUCUUGUCUUUUGUGCAUCGAUACUUUUGAAGAGCGUAUUUCAGUUGUUUUGAAGGAUGUCCCUUGAUUUGGUUUGGUUUCUCUUGAUGAGAUUCAAGUUACCACUUUGGGCAGGAAUGGGUUUUGUGUAUUUUUUGAAGUGAAAAUCUGUGUCAUCUCUCUGUGACACCAGGGGCUCCAGGGCCCAGGAGAGUAGGUCUGAAAUCCUGCCUCUGCAUUUCCUGGCUGCAUCCUCUUGAGCGGAUUCCUUACCUCCACCCAGCCCCAGCAUCCGUACCCUCAUCUGUAGAAAGGAUGUAAAUGGUACCUCGCCCUAAAGCCUAUAGUAAAGGUCAAGAGGUCUAAUGAAUUUAAAGAACCUAAAACAACACUAACCCCUAAAAAGUGCUUUAUCCUUCUAUGUUACAUAUCAAAUGGCUAUGAAAUAGACUAACGCUGCAAAAAUUGAGUGAUUUUGAAGAACUGUUUUGGUCAGUGGUAGCAUUUUGGGGGCAGUACUGCUGCAGCCUCUCCUCCACGUGUGCUUUGGGCUUAUAACUUCUGAAUUGUGAAGUUUAUGUCAAGAAACAUAAAUCAUGGACACAUUUUUGUCCAUGUGCUCUCUUAACAUGUGAGACUAGUCGUGACACCACCGGAUACUCCCUUCCUGGGAAUCCCUACGUUCUUAGCAGACUCGUCCCCAGACCCUUCUCAAGACUCAGCUCCCAGCUGAGCGCAUGAGGCCCUAGCAGAUGUGGAUGGAUUCCAGAUGGGCAGAGACUGGCUAAAUGAGGCGCCUCGUCCUUUGAAGGGAAGGAAGGUAACUGGGAAAUAUUUAUGCAGUACUGGAGUGUGCGAUGCAAACUUGCUUCUCAUUUAUGAGUCAUUGGUGGAAAUUUUUUAAAUAAUAAUGAGAAGAAGAAUAAGUAUAUAAAUGGUUAUAAAGAACAGAAAGCUGUUGGUAAGAACAGUAUCACUCAUCAACCAUUUUAACUGAAGAUGCCUCUGCCCCGUGUGCCAGCAAUUCCACUCCUAGGAGACAAGUAAGAGAUCAGAAUUGAGCCACAUGUUUAUAAUGAAUGAACAAACAAGGAAGCUGAGAUCUAGCCAACAAACAAAUACCAUAAAGCAGCUAAAAUGUAGACUAAAAAAGCCCUUUGCAAAAAAUACCCAGUAUGAAUGCAUUCGCAUAAAUUCUAAAAACACAUCACCGAUACUGCACAUAUUUAUUGGAGCACAAAAAUGGAGUAAGAGGAUUAAAGGAAGCAGCAGCCUUAGAAGAGAGCGACCUCUCGGAAAGAGGCAGGAGAGUGGAAUUAGGGACAGGCUCAAGGACUGCAGCUCUUGGGGUCCUUAUUUCCUUAUUUAAAAAAGAGAAAUG